rnacentral:rRNA from 1 species
AAAUUGCUGUGGUAUUUUGACUAUACAAAGGUAUUGUAAUAAGAUUUUAAUUGAAUGCUAAAAGAAUGGAAUCUCAGGGAAAGACUUUUUUAAUUUUAAAAAUUAAAGUUAUUUUAAUUUGUGAAGAAACAAUUAUAAUAAUUAAGGACAAGAAGACCCUAAGAAUUUUAAAUUUUUUAUAUAAAAAUAUUUUUAUAUAAAAAAUUUGGUUGGGGCAACCAAAAAAUAUUUUUAACUUUUUUUUGAAAAAAUGACCCAUUAUUAAUGAUAAUAUGAUUAAAUACUCUAGGGAUAACAGCGUAAUAAUUUUAGAUAGAACAUAUAGACAAAAUAGUUUGCGACCUCGAUGUUGGAUUAGGAUACUUUUUUAAUGAAGAUGUUAAAAAAAGGAGUUUGUUCAACUUUUAAAUUCCUACUUGAUCUGA